rnacentral:misc_RNA from 1 species
AAAUAUUUUUGUAUGAUUCCAUCUGCUUAGCCUUGAUGUCGUUGCUUUUGUCAUACGGGAUCUGCUUUCCUCAGAAUUCGAGGCGAGGCUCCUCUCUCUUCGCUCUUUGAUCUUUCUUAUGUUAGUAAGGAGUUUCAUGUGCUCUUCAGGCAUCACCUCUUUUACAGCAUCCAAUCCACACUUCUUGAUAAGCAUUUCAAUAAGCAGUUUAACCUUGGCUUUGAAAUGGUUCUUGGUACUAUUUUGCCAACCAAGAAGGGCCUCUACCAUGUUCCUUAAAUGUGCUUGCAAUCCAUCGGCCGUCGAUUUUGUGACCAGUACCUUCAACAGCCCUAAAUUAGCCUUAAUUAUUUCUUUGUUCUCUCUUUUAAGGAGAAGAAAUGUUGAUGGUAGGACACUGUAAGCAGCAGAAACAAGGUCUGAAAAUUCAUAAGCCAGUCGAGCAAGGCCUUUAACCGCUGCACUGAUCAUAUGAGGUGUUUCCCCGGCAAGACCCCCAGCAAUCAUAUUAAAAAACUGAUGCAGGUGCUCCUUUCUGCCACCUUUGUCUUCAUCUGCACAAGCAUGGCCAAUCUUGACAAGAAUCUCGUACGCUCGGUUCCUUGUUUUCUUGUUAGCCUCUUUGAGUGCAAGCAAAAUUUCAGUCAUAAAAGAAGUAAUACUGUCACGCCUCCUCUGUUCUGAUUCAUCCUUCGUAACAUGGACAAUCAAAAAGUAUAGGCAGUCAAGUCUGUGACGCUUGGCUGGAAAAUGACAUGCAGGUAGUGCUUCAAUCAUCAAAUUAAGCAACUCUUCGGUCUUCGUGGAAAUAAAUUCAUCACAGUCCUGAAGGAUCAUGGAGAGAACUUUAUAUGCCUUCUUCUGGAUCAAGCCUUCCUCAUCCUUUAAAGCAGGCUUUAAAGCACCAAACAGCACACCAAUUUCUUGAGCGUUUAAACCAGGCAAGAAUGAAACUGCCAGAUCAAAUAACUGUGCCCUCUCUGACAAAGAACUUUUACUGGAUGAGUCAUCAAUCUGCAUUGAAUGCGAUUUUUUGUCCUUCCCUGCCUCCCCAGCUUCUUGGGUCACCUCCAAAAGCCUCUGCAUGAUUUUCGUAAAUAGCACUCUUACCACCCUUCUUUUUCCUUUGGUUUGGUCGAGACUCUUUUCUCUAACUUUGUCAGCAAUAGAGGCCAAUACACCAAUUGUUCUCUGCAAAAAUCCACCAGUAUCUUUAGAGGAUUUCAAGAAGACAUCAUAGAGAACAGGUAGCAGUUUCUGAGCUGAAAGGCUCAAUGUGUUCAAGUUAUUGUCUGCAACUUGCUGGUUGUACCGUGCAAUGGCUCGUUCUCUGGGAACGUUUGUUUCAGUAUCAGACAGAUCAACUGUCCCUUUUAAAAUGCUAUCAUUCUGCUGAACGAGGAUCUGCAAACUGGAGCAUAUUAUCCCACAAACAUCAGGCUCUUCAUGUAGAGCUUUGCGGAAUACCUUCUCCAGAUCCUUGAAGCUUUCAGCAGUGUCGACAGGGUAAUUGCAAAAUGAGGGUAACAGUGACCACAAUGAGUACACAAUUCCAUCAAUAGUUCUUGCUGAAUAUAUCUUUCCCUCGCGCUCAAGCAUUGCAGACCUCUGCUUCAUAGCUCCAACCAUUGGCAAAAUUGAGUUGGUAAAGAAACUUAAAUGCGCACCAACAAUAUUUUGCUUUAGAAUUGGGAAAAGCCAGAUGUUGGACUCUGACAGAUCUUGUACAUCCAGUUUAAGAGGAAGAAGAGUAAGAAAAGAUUCAGGUCCCAUUGCACCAACAGCUGAUCCAACACAUUCGUGCAGCUGUCUACGGAAAGGGAAGUCUUCAUCUGGCAACUUUUCCAUAUCAGCCAAACUCUGUAGUGUUCCCUUCAGAAGGUGAGAAGAAUAGCAACCUAGCUUAUCAAACAUGGCAACCACCACUUGAAAUGACAUGUCCCAAACUGCUGCAUAGUGAUAGGUAAGCAAGCUCUCAAUUGUGGCACAGAUUUUCUCAAUGAUAGUUGGUCCAGAUUUUUUCGCAUCAGUAUUCGAACUAAUUAUGUUAUCCACACCCUGUUUGAUCAAGUUUUCAUCAAUGCAUUCAUGUAUUAAAA